UCUGGUUUGGGGGUCUACGUUUUCUCGUCCUGUCCUGCCACCCAAGUAAAGUUAUUCACAAGUGGCUCCAGUCUGGUUUGGGGGUCUACGCUUUCUCAUCCUGUCCUGCCAUUCAAGUAAAGUCAUUCACAAGUGGCUUCAGUCUGGUUUGGGGGUCUAUGCUUUCUCAUCCUGUCCUGCCACCCAAGUAAAGUUAUUCACAAGUGGCUCCAGUCUGGUUUGGGGGUCUACGCUUUCUCAUCCUGUCCUGCCAUUCAAGUAAAGUUAUUCACAAAUGGCUCCAGUCUGGUUUGGGGGUCUACACUUUCUCAUCCUGUCCUGCCACCCAAAUAAAGUGCUGUGAGGAAAAACACAGAAACAUGGUCAGCCAACGACGCGGUGGUCACUAAGCACGCAAUCAGGUGGUUCAACGAGGAGACCUGUCCUGCCUCCAUCCACACCAAACGGAUUAAUAGGAGAAAUAAACAUUAAACAAUCUUUUUUAUUGAA